rnacentral:rRNA from 1 species
GCUAUGCCCGAUCUCGUCUGAUCUCGGAAGCUAAGCAGGGUCGGGCCUGGUUAGUACUUGGAUGGGAGACCGCCUGGGAAUACCAGGUGCUGUAAGCUUUAGUUUUUUAGUCAAAAUUGAUCUAAUAUACUGCAGAUUAGGGUGGCUGAUCUUUAAAUAGCCCACACUUUGCAGCAGCCCUCGCUUACGGCCAUACCAACCUG